rnacentral:rRNA from 1 species
UACGUAGGGCGCAAGCGUUGUCCGGAAUUAUUGGGCGUAAAGAGCUCGUAGGCGGUCUGUCGCGUCUGCUGUGAAAACCCGAGGCUCAACCUCGGGCCUGCAGUGGGUACGGGCAGACUAGAGUGCGGUAGGGGAGAAUGGAAUUCCUGGUGUAGCGGUGGAAUGCGCAGAUAUCAGGAGGAACACCGAUGGCGAAGGCAGUUCUCUGGGCCGUAACUGACGCUGAGGAGCGAAAGCGUGGGGAGCAAACAGG